GAGGGUAUAGCUCAGUGGUAGCGUGUAUGCUUAGCAUGCAUGAAGUCGUGGGUUCAAUCCCCAGUACUUCCA
rfam:Camelus ferus unplaced genomic scaffold scaffold1815, whole genome shotgun sequence.